UUAAAAUACACACAUAGUACUUUGUUACCCUUUAUGACACCCUUUGUCACCCAUCCUAAUGAGAUGUUUACUUAGUUUUCUCUCUCUUCCACUUUCUCUAAACUCUCUGUGACUUAAGACUCAGCCAGGUGAAAACAAACAUAUGGCUACCACAUGGGGGAUAAUGUAAAGUGUGUGCAAGCCCUAUAGGAGACAAUCUUGCCACACAUUGUGCUCUCUGUUCAAUGACAAAACUAUUAUUCACAAAAUGGGAGAAACCACACUUCCUUCUAUACACUGAAAUAAUAACAAUAAUGACAAUCACAACAACAAUAACAACAACAACAACAACAACAAUGGUAGCUACAUCAAAAUACCUUUACAUUUUAGUUUUGCUAAGAGCCAUAUCUGAUUCCACUUUGACCUUGGUACUUUCUUUUCAUAGACAGUUCUGCAUAUGGCAUAUACCAUAUGCAGAAGAAUGUUGAAAUGAUACUAAUCCUCUUUUUCUAUUCUAGGCUAUCAAAGUCAAGAAUUUAUUUUUUUUAAGAUUUCAUUUUUAAGUAAUCUCUACAAACAACAUGGGGCUUAAACUUACAACCCUUCAAUCAAGAAUCGCUUGCUCCGCAAUCAAAAGUCGCUUGCUCUACUGAAUGAGCCAGCCAGAUUUAGGGAGCAGAGUAACAAGAGACUGCAGAAGAGGUGUGAUGGAUGUAAAUAAGAGAAAGAAAAUAUCAGGAAAUACCCAGAAUGAUUCUAUAUAGGCCAUUUUAGGAAAUAGUUUUAUAGGAGAAACUUAAAUGGACACAGGCGUGCCACACUUUCCGCAGCACAUGGUAGUAACCUGUCUGACCCAAGCAAACAAGAAAACCAGGUUGGCGUGUGAUGCCUGGUGGUGGGGCAAACCCAAGGUGGAGGGCAGAGCUGGAGUGAGCACAGCAGAACAGAAGGUGCUGAAUUCCCUUUCUUGGAGUAGCUUGUGUGAAGAAAACAGGUGGACAGCCUGGUGAGAGGGAAUGCCAGAUCCCAUCCUUCCCCACGGCUAAGCCGCCCUCAGGCCAGCCCUGGCUGGGAGCCCACCACUUCCUCCAUGUCCAUAAAGAGCUCCAGAGACAUGCAGGAAAAGCCUCUCUCCUGCAUCUGCUUGGACACACCAGCUCUCUAACCACAGACAGGCCGCUUACAGACACUUUCUCCAGAUACCUGGCUCAGCUGGUCUUGAACACUCCUGCCAAGGAGUGACUCGGGCAGCCAGUAACCACAUGAAAAAACUUGCCUGUUGUUUUGACACUCGUGGCUCUUGGGAAGAUGGCAACUGUUGGAAAGGAUUGUAUGCACUUCUGAGAUUUUAUGUACCUAAUCUUUUAAAAAUAGGCCCUGGGUUUGCUAAAGCGGAUAAUGUCACCUAGUUUGAACUUGAUGAAAGCAUAGAAAAGCAAUUUAAACACUUGUAUGGUUCUCCAAGCAUAAGCGCAUGGACAGAUUUUUGAGAGGAUCUGCUGAAGCCUCCUGAAAUUUGUAUUUCAUCACAGAUAAAUGUGCAUUGUUGUUUCAAGAACUUGAUUAUUAGAUCAUCAGGGCUGUAACUAACAACAAGAGUUUUACCUGCGCUUAAAAGUGAAAUAAAUAAAUAAAUAAGUAGGCAAAAAUGCCUUAAUAGUAAUAACAAGAUCUCUCAGAAAAUGGAUAUUGUGGUAUUGUGUACUCAAACUAGUAAUACAAGUAUACUUUUUAUCAUAAGAAUUCAUAGUCUUUUCUGGAUUUUUAUGAGGUGCCCUAUACAGGUAAUUUGCUUUGCAAACUCUUUCUGCCCUAAAUUGAAAAAAUUAGGAAUUAGGAAAGCAGGUACUGAUGCGAUUAAUAGAAAAUAGCAUCUAUGGUUCAAUUUCAUAGAAUAAUUUAUGCAGUUAAGGAGAAGUGAGGGGUACUGGAGACAGCAAUGUCAAGAAGUCAGACACAGCUGGUGCCAUUUCUGCCUCUGCUGCUAAUUGCUGUGUACUUUGGGACAGUUACUUAACAUCUCUGAGCCUUUCAGUCUUGUCUUCUAUAAAAUGGAGACAAUAAAAACUACUUUGGAAGAUACUCGAGGGGACAGUGACACAUAGCAGCCACUCCUUAAGGGCAUUGUUUAUUAUCAUUAAUAACAGGGAAGAUAAUUGUCAACCAAGAGCCAAAUGUACUUUCUUUAAGUGUUAAAUAAUUAGGUUCCUAAACUGAAGUUGGUUCCAGUUGCUAUAAUGUGAAUUAAGCCAUCACGACUUUGGAUUACAGAGAUUUCUUUAUAUCCAGUAGGACACAAAUAGUUGGGAAUUUCUAGGUAAUUUUAUAAUAUGAAAUCAGUGCUUGGUGUGUAGAAAUAUUACCCCCAGAGUUGGACACAUUGUGGGUCCCUGAGCAAGUCUUUCAGCCACACUCUGCCACAGUGUUAUUAUUUCUCAAAUGCUGGAGAUGGGGAGCUACUUUCAGGCUAAAAUUAAAAGACAUCAUGGUUUUGUUUUGGAAAAAUCGAUUCAUCAAUAUGUUUUUUUUCCAUGGCUAUAAAAAGUAUUUGAAAACGAAACAAAAUAAAGUAGUAAAAAAUCUUGGUAUGUAUUUUUUCCUUGGAUAAUGAGGCUCUCAUUCAAGUGCUCUUGGAAAAGAUUAUUUUGUGCUCUGGUCAAGGUGGCCUACUUUUUUUGUGUGUUGAAGGGCUUUGCAAUUAGAAGUUAUUUGUAUUUUCCCAGGGAGUGUCCACUUUGGGAAGAAAGAAAAUUAUAUGCCUGAAGAAUAUGGUUGACCAAUUUAUUGUUGUUUAUGUCUGUGCUAGACCUAAAAGGAAAUACAUAGAAUUCAAGUUUCUUUCUUUCUUUCUUUCUUUCUUUCUUUCUUUCUUUCUUUCUUUCUUUCUUUCUUUCUUUCUUUUGGCAUGGGAAAGGG